CCACUUUAGUUUCAAAGGUUCUUGCUUUAUUGAUAGGGGAGCAGAGCAGCUAGACCAAUAAUCUUUUAGGCUUCAAUCAGAUAGAUUGCUUAAGCAGACUAAGGCUUCAAAUCUUCACCAUGAUGUUUAGAUAGCUUGAUAACGGAUAGAAUACUUAAAAACAGAUUUAGGCUGACCAUCAUCAUGUGUUAUGUCUAUAGCCUUGGAAGAUGUUUGAUUGUUUAAAAGCUUCUUGUUUUUGAGUGUCUCUGUAGAGCAGUGUUUUUAAAACCGGACCGGAAGCUGAACCGGAAAUAUUUUGGGUCACGGUUCAAUAUGGUUCAACCGGGUCAAACCUGGUUCAAUAAUAUGGUUUAAUAUUUUUUUAGUAUGUAAAUAUAAAAGUAAUAUUAGUAAACAUGAUGCAUAGCUAAAAUAUAAAUCAAUUUUGAACAUAAAAUAUUAUAAAUAUAAAUUAGUUUCUUGUUUAUAUGAAUGGUUUAUAGAUUUUCGAUAGUUUUAGUGGUUUUUAUUGGUUUAAUAACUUUGAAAUAUAAUCCGGCUAUGUGGCCGGUUCAUGGUCGAACCAAUUACUAGACCAACCCGGCUAUAUAACCGGUUCACGGUCGAACCCGGUCCGACCAUCGGGUCGGUCCGGUUUUAAAAACACUGCUGUAGAGUAACUCUUAUGAAAGUCUCUUCCUUUUUUUUGUGAAAGGCUGGUUAACUGUAAUGAAAAAAAAAAAUGAUUGUCUUCUGCCUAUGUCAUUUGUAGGAUAUUUUUGACAAGUUUCGGAUAUGGAAGCUAAUCAAAUCGAAUUUCGCUACUUCCGAGUCUUUGAGAUACAGAUUGGUUCAAAUAAGCACUCGGUUUUCAUCUUCUUCUCUGAGUUUUUGUAUCACUAAUUCUACAGAGCAUUGUGCUCUCUCUGUUUAAAGAUACUACAGCAAACCUACUGACAUCUGGUCCAUACGCCCUCGUAUUUGCUUACUUUGUACCCUUCUACUUGGACAUUCCUGUUUCUAAGAGGUUCAAUGUAUUUGGCGCUCACUUCUCUGACAAAUCAUUCAUAUAUCUUGUUGGUGUCCAGCUUUUACUAUCUUCUUGGAAAAGAUCCAUGUUACCUGGUAUCUGUGGCAUAAUUGCUGGUUCCUUGUAUCGGUUGAACAUCUUUUGAUCCCUGGGUUCAUGGCUUCGCUCUUUUCCCGAAUGUCUUUGCCAUCACUGAGCAGCCAUUCUCAAGCACCAAGAAGGACAUCACCCAGCCUAGGUCGCCAAGCAGUGGCAGAGAUCUUAUCAAGCACCGUUGCCGUCAAGUAUAGAGCCAUCUGAAGAAGCAAUAGUUGUUUUUGUUAGGUGGUUGUCUCUUUCACUUACCAUGACGAAAAAAAAAUACAUAUUGUAAAUGGAUUUUUAAUUUCAUUUUCAUUUCAAGUGUGGAAUACGGUAAGAGUGGAUGCAUAUUUCUAAUAUGUAAUAUGUAAAAACUUCAAAUGUUUAGAAAGCAACAGAACUUAGAAUGACA